GGAGCUAGAAUGACUUGUCAGCCACCUUUGAGCAAGAACUUGCCUGGAGUCCAAAUGUAUGGCUAUUGAAGGAUAGUAAGCAGACAGCACUAAAAGUCAUCCAUUCGUUAUGGAUUUAGUCUUAAGACCCUCAUUUGAGAGAUGCCUUCCCUGUACCUGGAGGAAAGAAACAUCUUUAUCUCUGAAGACACAGGGCCACAGAGAAGAGUCUGAACAAACAGGCUUUACCAAUUUCCCCCAGUUGUUACCGUUAGAUCAGACCUUUGUCCAGUCAUAUCCUUCCACAAGUUGUCCACUCAUCAACCCUAAGCAUAAAAAUGCACAAGUUUCCUUGUUUGUUUGGGUCUUCA
rnacentral:lncRNA from 10 species